GCCUUGGUAGAUCAAUGCAGAUCAUCCUGCAUUCAUAGCCUGAAAGCGAGUGCUUAUAUCGGGAAGAUGGAGGUUCGAAUCCUCCCCAGGGUC